rnacentral:rRNA from 1 species
CCUACGGGUGGCUGCAGUGGGGAAUAUUGCACAAUGGGGGAAACCCUGAUGCAGCAACGCCGCGUGAGUGAUGACGGCCUUCGGGUUGUAAAGCUCUGUCUUCAGGGACGAUAAUGACGGUACCUGAGGAGGAAGCCACGGCCAACUACGUGCCAGCAGCCGCGGUAAUACGUAGGUGGCGAGCGUUGUCCGGGUGUACUGGGCGUAAGGGGAGCGUAGGCGGGCUUUUAAGUGAGAUGUGAAAUACUCGGGCUGAAGUUGAGUGCUGCAUUUCAAACUGUAAGUCUGGAGUGCAGGUGAGGAGGAUGGAAUUCCUAGUGUAGCGGUGAAAUGCAUAGAGAUUAGGAAGAACACCAGUGGCGAAGGCGAUUCUCUGGACUGUAACUGACGCUGAGGCUCGAAAGCGUGGGGAGCAAACAGGAUUAGAUACCCUGGUAGUC